rnacentral:pre_miRNA from 1 species
GUUUUACAGGGAGUUCCCUUCAAGCACUUCACGUAGAGCUUUUUAUUGAUAUGGAGCUUUCGAACAAUGUGAAGUGUUUGGGGGAACUCUUCGUACCAA